rnacentral:rRNA from 1 species
UACAGAGGGUGCGAGCGUUGUCCGGAAUCGACUGGGCGUAAAGGGCGCGUAGGCGGCUUGAUAAGGUUGCGGUGAAAGCCCGGGGCUCAACCCCGGGUCGGCCAGUGGCAACUGUCGAGCUGGAGCACUGUAGAGGCAGGUGGAAUUCCGGUGUAGCGGUGGAAUGCGUAGAGAUCCGGAAGAACACCGGUGGCGAAGGCGGCCUGCUGGGCAGUGGCUG